GGGGCUGUACCUGUGAGAGUGUGUCACCCGUGGGUGGAGUGUGCAGUGAUCAGAUGUUGUCGGUCUCAGCCAAGCUGGGUCCUGGGGCCACAGGAGGAUCCCUGCAGCCUGUUGCGUGAAUCAAUCAACCUUCCCUGGAACACAGCCAAGCCCAUUUGUUUAAAUAAUAAUACACUAAACAAGGCAGCGGAGCGGUGGGCUGGCCCCUGGGAGAGGUGACACAGCAGCUUUUAGUUGUCACAACACUCGUUUUCCAAGCACAAAGAGAAACCAAAGGACGCGCAGACGAAAGGUGGUCUCCCGGCUGGGGAGGACCUGGGAUGUGAGGGAAGAGGGAGGGAGGGAGCAGGGAUGCAUGAGCCCGGCUCUGGGGCUCCUGCACCCCUCAGGGCAGGCUGAGGCCGGCCUCGCCUGGGUUGCAUCACCCAGGACGCCCUGGGGAUCUCCAGGCCACCGUGGCAGCCAGGCCCCUGAUGCAAUCCACGGCUGUCUUGCGGCAUGACCUGCCCUGGUCAGCCUGGACUCUGCCCUGCCUGGGGGCCCAGCCCUGACCGCAGCCUCCAGCGAUCCCUCCCUUCCCAGGGUCUGUUUACAGGCGCUUGGAGCAUCAGGCCCAUUUCUACCAUGAACUCGCCGUGUGGUGCCCAGCGAGUGUCUCUGAUCUGUAAACUGGGUGUGGUGGCAUCUAUCCUGUCUGUGGGGUUGCAGGAGCAAGCCACACGCAUGUGGGGAGCCACGCCAGGCACACAGUGGAUGCAACAGGGGAGUUGCUCGUUCUGACCUCUAAAAAACCAAGUUAAUGGUGGGUGUGUUGUGGACGGCACCCAGGUUGGAAGGAAAGCAGAAGUAUUGCUACGAAGCUCAGCUGCACAGUGUGUCACAGAACCCAUCCAGGCUGGGGCUGGAGAGUGCUUUGUGAACCAGAACAGGCAAUGAUGCUUGGGUGGGCUGGGCCCUGCACUUCCAUCUCCCACCCGGUUAGGUGCCCCAGAACAGGUCUGGGGUGCGCCAGGGGCUCUGUAUCCCCUCAUCCAAGGCUGCCAGGGGACCGGGCUUUCCUGCCAUCUCAGGGACUCUGAGGAGCCAUCGGACAGUCGGAAGGAGAAGAGAGCAAGUGAGGAAGUCACCUCUGGUAUAACUGACAUGAGACUUAGAUAGUUGGGGUCAAGGUGGAUGUAGGGGCACUUUAGAAGGUGAAAUAGGGGCGGGGACAAUCCAGGGACAUCUUUCCCAGCAUGCACGAACCAGAAAUAACACCAGCGUGUCUGAGAAGAAACGGUGAAGAAAUCCACCCUGG
rnacentral:lncRNA from 1 species